rnacentral:miRNA from 14 species
GGUCCUCCUCCUCCUCCUCCUCUUCCUCUUCCUCUUCCUCCUCCUCCUCUUCUUCUUCAGAUUUAUUUAUUUAAUAUAUAUGAGUACACCAUAGCUGUCUUCAGACACACCCAAAAAGGGCAUCGGAUCCCAUUACAGAAGUCAGCUUCUCUAGAAAGUGAGGUUAAAUGAACAUGUGA